rnacentral:rRNA from 1 species
GAUGAACGCUGGCGGCGUGCCUAAUACAUGCAAGUCGAGCGAACGGACGAGAAGCUUGCUUCUCUGAUGUUAGCGGCGGACGGGUGAGUAACACGUGGAUAACCUACCUAUAAGACUGGGAUAACUUCGGGAAACCGGAGCUAAUACCGGAUGAUAUUUUGAACCGCAUGGUUCAAAAGUGAAAGACGGUCUUGCUGUCACUUAUAGAUGGAUCCGCGCUGCAUUAGCUAGUUGGUAAGGUAACGGCUUACCAAGGCAACGAUGCAUAGCCGACCUGAGAGGGUGAUCGGCCACACUGGAACUGAGACACGGUCCAGACUCCUACGGGAGGCAGCAGUAGGGAAUCUUCCGCAAUGGGCGAAAGCCUGACGGAGCAACGCCGCGUGAGUGAUGAAGGUCUUCGGAUCGUAAAACUCUGUUAUUAGGGAAGAACAUAUGUGUAGGUAACUGUGCACAUCUUGACGGUACCUAAUCAGAAAGCCACGGCUAACUACGUG